rnacentral:rRNA from 1 species
CAGCAGCCACGGUAAUACAGAGGGUGCGAGCGUUAAUCGGAUUUACUGGGCGUAAAGCGUGCGUAGGCGGCUUUUUAAGUCGGAUGUGAAAUCCCUGAGCUUAACUUAGGAAUUGCAUAGGAUACUGGGAAGCUAGAGUAUGGGAGAGGAUGGUAGAAUUCCAGGUGUAGCGGUGAAAUGCGUAGAGAUCUGGAGGAAUACCGAUGGCGAAGGCAGCCAUCUGGCCUAAUACUGACGCUGAGGUACGAAAGCAUGGGGAGCAAACAGGAUUAGAUACCCGCGUAGUCCCUGUCUCUUAUAU